UUUAAUUUGAAUUCCAAUUUUUAUCCGACUUUUUCUCUACAUUUUUUUAUCUCUCAUCAAUCAAUAAAAUCUACCACUUCUUUUCAGUUAUCUCUUUAUUACUCACCACGAUUUCUCAUGGUGUAACUGUCAUGGCUAUCACUCUUUGUAAAGCAUACAAGUAAUCAACUCUCUAUUAUUUUGAAGUGGCUGUCUCUUUUAUUGAAGAAUGUGGCUCCAUUCUCUAUAUAGAGCUCUCUUUCUUUUUAUUUACCAAUAUAAUCUCUGAUCAGAAAUUUUUUAUGUUUUUCAUUGCGAAAUUGGAAUCUCUAGUCAUAUCUUUGAUUUGCGUUGAAUCGAAUUUGGGAUUCUGCAAUAUUCUUUAUGCCUUGUAGAUUUUAUCAAAAAGCUAUAUGAUUAUGCGGUACUCUUAGCAAGACUAACCAAUUUCAAGUAGAAUUGCCUUUUGUUAUAAUGCAGGAGAAUUGGCAUCCAAUUGCAGAAACAGAUUCUUUCGUUUCAGGGAUGAAGUGUGAAGCACAAACCUCCAGGUUAACAUGAAAAUAAAGACGGACCAUUUACAACAAGUUCUCAUAAGUUAGUGGACAUCUACAGCUUCUAUUAAAUUUGGAGCUCGCCGAAAUAUAUUUUGAUAGUUUUUUUUUUUUUGUAAUUUACAGUUUUUAUUUUCAAUUUUGUAAAUAAUAUUAAAGAUAUGAGUGUAUAG